rnacentral:rRNA from 1 species
GAUGAACGCUGGCGGCGUGCCUAAUACAUGCAAGUCGAGCGAACGGACGAGAAGCUUGCUUCUCUGAUGUUAGCGGCGGACGGGUGAGUAACACGUGGAUAACCUACCUAUAAGACUGGGAUAACUUCGGGAAACCGGAGCUAAUACCGGAUGAUAUUUUGAACCGCAUGGUUCAAAAGUGAAAGACGGUCUUGCUGUCACUUAUAGAUGGAUCCGCGCUGCAUUAGCUAGUUGGUAAGGUAACGGCUCACCAAGGCAACGAUGCAUAGCCGACCUGAGAGGGUGAUCGGCCACACUAGAACUGAGACACGGUCCAGACUCCUACGGGAGGCAGCAGUAGGGAAUCUUCCGCAAUGGGCGAAAGCCUGACGGAGCAACGCCGCGUGAGUGAUGAAGGUCUUCGGAUCGUAAAACUCUGUUAUUAGGGAAGAACAUAUGUGUAAGUAACUGUGCACAUCUUGACGGUACCUAAUCAGAAAGCCACGGCUAACUACGUG